rnacentral:rRNA from 1 species
AAAAGUAAAAGAAGGGCAGACGGUGGAUGCCUUGGCUCUCGGAGGCGACGAAGGACGUGAUAAGCUGCGAUAAGCUACGGGGAUUGGCACAUACAAAUUGAUCCGUAGAUUUCCGAAUGGGGCAACCCGGCAUAUUGAAGAUAUGUCACACUGCAGAGCAGUGAGCGAACGUGGGGAACUGAAACAUCUAAGUACCCAUAGGAGAAGAAAACAAAAGUGAUUCCCUUAGUAGUGGCGAGCGAACGGGGACUAGCCCAAACCAGAUUUGUUUCGGCAAAACUGGGGUUGUAGGACCUCGACAUAGGAAGACAAGAUUAGGAGAACGGUCUGGAAAGGCCGGCCAUAGAACAUGACAGCUGUGUAUCCGAAAAUCUUCGUUGGACUUAGAGGUAUCCUGAGUAGCGCGGGACACGUGAAAUCCUGUGUGAAUCUGCGGGGCCCAUCCCGUAAGGCUAAAUACUCCCGAGAGACCGAUAGUGAACCAGUACCGUGAGGGAAAGGUGAAAAGAACCUCGAACAGAGGAGUGCAAUAGAUCCUGAACCCGUCUGCCUACAAGCGGUAGGAGCAGCUUCGAGCUGUGACUGCGUGCCUUUUGCAUAAUGAACCUACGAGUUACUUUCUCUGGCAAGGUUAAGUGAUGAAGAGUCACGUGAGCCGAAGCGAAAGCGAGUCUGAAUAGGGCGAUUUAGUCAGAGGGAGUAGACGCGAAACCAAGUGAUCUACCCUUGGUCAGGUUGAAGGUUGGGUAAAACCAACUGGAGGACCGCACCGGUAAGCGUUGAAAAGCUUUCGGAUGAACUGAGGGUAGGGGUGAAAGGCUAAUCAAACUUGGAGAUAGCUCGUACUCCCCGAAAUGCAUUUAGGUGCAGCCUCGGGUAAGGUACUGAUGAGAGGUAGAGCGACUGAUUGGAUGCGAGGGCUUCACCGCCUAUCAAGUCCGGCCAAACUCCGAAUGCUCAUCAGCAACAUCCCGGGAGUGAGGGCAUGGGUGCUAAGGUCCAUGUCCGAGAGGAGAAGAAUCCAGAUCACCGGCUAAGGUCCCCAAAUAGCAGCUAAGUUGCAUUAACGAAGUCCGACCGCAGCGACAGCCAGGAUGUUGGCUUGGAAGCAGCCAUUCAUUUAAAGAGUGCGUAACAGCUCACUGGUCGAGGGGUCGGGCAUGGAUAAUAAUCGGGCAUAAGCUGUUUACCGAAGCCGUGAGAUCGAAAAGAUCGGUAGGGGAGCAUUCCAUUAUCAGCGUUGAAGAUGAGAGGUGACUCUUGUUGGAGCGGAUGGAAAAGCAAAUGCAGGUAUAAGUAACGAUAAAGGGGGUGAAAAACCUCCUCGCCGAAAGACCAAGGGUUCCUGAUCAACGCUAAUCGGAUCAGGGUUAGUCGGGACCUAAGGCUAAGCCGAAGGGCGAUGCCGAUGGAAGAACCGGUUAAUAUUCCGGUACUGCUUUGUGGAGUGAUGUGGAGACGGAGAAGUGACAGCUCGGCCAUCUGACGGAAUAGGUGGUUAAAGGGUGUAGACGUUGAUUGUUGUAGGCAAAUCCGCAACAAGAGUUGAACCUGACAGUAUGCAGCGUACUUGUACAAUGUAAUAAGAGCGUAAUCAGGCUCCCAAGAAAACCCGCUAAACAUAUCUACAAAGCACCCGUACUCGAAACGGACACACGUGGUCGGGUUGAAAAUACUAAGGCGCUCGAGUGAUUCACGGUUAAGGAACUAGGCAAAAUGGUCCUGUAACUUCGGGAUAAAGGACGCCAAUAGCAAUAUUGGUCGCAGAGAAUAGGCCCAGGCGACUGUUUAACAAAAACACAUGACUAUGCGAAAUCGAAAGAUGAGGUAUAUGGUCUGACACCUGCCCGGUGCUGGAAGGUUAAGAGGAGAUGUCAUCCUGCAAGGGAGAAGCAUUGAAUUGAAGCCCCAGUAAACGGCGGCCGUAACUAUAACGGUCCUAAGGUAGCGAAAUUCCUUGUCGGGU